UACGUAGGGUGCGAGCGUUGUCCGGAAUUACUGGGCGUAAAGCGUGCGCAGGCGGUUCGUUGUGUCGGCGGUGAAAUCCCCGGGCUCAACCUGGGAAUGGCCGUUGAAACUGGCGAACUGGAGUGUGGCAGAGGGGGGUGGAAUUCCGCGUGUAGCAGUGAAAUGCGUAGAGAUGCGGAGGAACACCGAUGGCGAACGGUGCAGCCCC
rnacentral:rRNA from 1 species